UGCACUAUUUAAAAAAUAAUAGGGUUAGGCCGGGUACAGUGGCUCACUCUUGUAACUCCAGCACUUUAGGAGGCCAAGGCAGGAGGAUUCCUUGAGCUCAGGAGUUUGUGACAAGCCUAGGCAACAUCAUGAGAGCCUGUCUGUAUAAAAAAUUUUAAAAUUAGCCAUGCAUGGUGGUGUGUGCGUGUGGUCCCAGCUACUAGGGAGGCUGAGGUGGGAUGAUCACUUGAGCCCAAAAAGUCGAGGCUGCAGUAAGCCGUGAUCACACCACUGCACUCAAGCUUGGGCAACAGAGUGGGAUCCUGUCUCAAAAAAAAAAAAAAUUAGUAAUAACUUUAUAGGAUAUAAUAUAUAAUAAAAUUCACCCUUUAUUUUAUUUUUCUAUUUAUUGUUAUUAUUUUUGAGAUAGGUUCUCCCUCUGUCACCCAGAGCUGGAGUGCGGUGGCAUAAUCACAGCUAAUUGCAGCCUCAACAUUCCAGGCCCAAGGAUCCUCCCUUCAGCCUUCCAGAGUCGGGGUCUCCCUAUGUUUCCCAGGCUGGCCUCGAACUCCUGACCUCAAGUGAUCCUCCCACCUCAGCCUCCCAGAGUGCUGGGAUUAAAGACGUGAGCCACGGCACCUGGCCUGAAUUUUCCUCAAAUUCAAAAAAUGCUGAUGAAGGUUUGGCUAAAAUCUUUGGUGAGUUACCCCACUCCCUGUGGAACCUCAGGCUGGAUUUGAAGAGUUGCGUGCAUGGUCCUCAUUGUCUCCCAGGUAACCUGUUCCCGCUGCUGUGAAGGGAAGGCAGGUGCUCUUCCUUGAGGCUAGAAUCUGUCUACGUGUCACAGUCUCAGGAAAUUAAGCAAAACAGAUGAUAAACACCUCAAAAGGACCCUACUGAGCAUGAGUGGAGCAGACCAGGGCCAUAU
rnacentral:sRNA from 1 species